rnacentral:misc_RNA from 1 species
GAUGAAGAACGUAGCGAAAUGCGAUAAGUAAUGUGAAUUGCAGAAUUCCGUGAAUCAUCGAAUCUUUGAACGCACAUUGCGCCCUCUGGUAUUCCGGGGGGCAUGCCUGUCCGAGCGUCAUUUCACCACUCAAGCCUGGCUUGGUGUUGGGCGACGUCCCCUUUGGGGACGCGCCUCGAAACGCUCGGCGGCGUGGCACCGGCUUUAAGCGUAGCAGAAUCUUUCGCUUUGGAAGUCGGGGCCCCGUCUGCCGGAAGACCUACUCGCAAGGUUGACCUCGGAUCAGGCAGGGAUACCCGCUGAACUUAAGCAUAUCAAUAAGCGGAGGA